GAUCAUGGCUCAGGACGAACGCUGGCGGCGUGCUUAACACAUGCAAGUCGAACGGAAAGGCCCUACUUGCAGGGUACUCGAGUGGCGAACGGGUGAGUAACACGUGGGUGAUCUGCCCUGCACUUCGGGAUAAGCCUGGGAAACUGGGUCUAAUACCGGAUAGGAGCCAUUUUUAGUGUGAUGGUUGGAAAGUUUUUUUCGGUGUAGGAUGAGCUCGCGGCCUAUCAGCUUGUUGGUGGGGUAAUGGCCUACCAAGG
rnacentral:rRNA from 1 species